CCAGCAGCCGCGGUAAUUCCAGCUCCAAUAGCGUAUAUUAAAGUUGUUGCAGUUAAAAAGCUCGUAGUUGAAGUUCUGGCUGUUCGAUCCUCGAGCUCUGUAGCCGAGGACUCGACAGCCAUCCGCCUGCAAAUAUAGUAUGCCUUUAACCGGGCAGCUAUAUGAGCAGGCAUUUUACCUUGAGAAAAACAGAGUGUUCCAGGCAGGUAUGUCCGGAAUGCGUUAGCAUGGAAUAAUAGAAUAUGACUGAAGUCGAUUUAUUGGUUUGAGGCUUUAGUAAUGAUUAAUAGGAACAGUCGGGGGCAUUGGUACUUGACAGUCAGAGGUGAAAUUCUAGGAUUUGUCAAAGACUAACAAAUGCGAAAGCAUUU
rnacentral:rRNA from 1 species